UUAACCUCCUACCAAACACCAUUAACUAUUACACUAACAUUACCGCACUAAAGAUUAUUGUGGAAUUAUCAAUCUAAAAAUUUUCUUACAGCAUUAUAAUCUUAGAUGCUAACCUUAUCUAGAAUGGAGGAAACAAACUAUCUCAGCCAAACCAAUAUCCCUUAAUAUUUGUAUCUGACUCUCUCUCUUGAAGACAAGAAUAGAAGCCAAAAACCACCCUUUGGUGCCUCAGACAACGGCCAAGGAAUAGUUAGAACUGAAAAAUAAUUGGCCUCCUUGUGCCAAACUAAGAUCCAUAAAUAUUUACAAUCUUGCAUAUCAUCCACAGGAAGUUUCAAGUUGUGCACUAGAAAAAAACAUUGACCUUUGAACCUUAAUAACAUACAACAAAUCCUAAAACUACUGCUUCUGAUUGUAAUUUCGUGCUAACAGAUUGCCUUGGUAAAUUUACCAUAAGAUAGGACAAAUAGAGACUGAUGUAUAUAUAUGUGCAAAUAUAAAUGCCCAAAGCUGGAGAAGGUGAAGCACUUACAUUUGACCAAGAUUAGCAAAAUCAAUAUCAGGAGCAAGCUCUUGCACAAUAUCAUUAGGCGGUUGGCCACAUUCUUGCAUUUUCUGCAUGAGAUCAAAAAUCUUGGUAAAAUUGUUAGGUUCAUUCUCAUAAACUUCAUUAAGGUGGUUGAUGAGUUCAUAUUGAUGAGAGUAACGCUCAUAUUCUUCUGCAGUCAAACCAGCUUUGUGCUCUUCCAGCCAUUUUGGAUAUCUUUCUCCAAUUUCCUUCAUGGGUUCAUGAAGAAUAUCCUUCGACAAAAGUUGUUGCAUCAUGGUCUCUACAAUUGAUUCCAUGUCCUGAGAGCCAGCAAGCUCCUCAAACUGCUUAACCCAAUCCUCCAUCAUUGCAUCCUUACUAAAAUCAUCUGGUUUCGGACCUGUGACAGACUCCAAUCCCUUAACAGCCUCCCUAGUCUGCUCCCUAAGCUGAUCAAGCGCCUCUGCAACAUGGGACUCCUUUUUAACCUUUUUCUUUCCCUUUUUCUUGCUUUUCAAGUCAGGUAAUCCCAUAACCAACCCUUGAAUCCCCGUUGGCAAUGAAGGAGAUGAUUCUUGUUGCUUGCUAUCCUCAUUACCAUCCCUUCCUCCGCUUCUUUGAGAGGAAGGAGCGAGGUUGAGACCCUGGAAAUCAUCAAGGGCACUGUCAAGGAGUUCAUCUAAAUCGUCGUGGUGGUGAUCAGCCAUGAUUGAACCAGUCUCUGUUCCUCUUUCUGAGCUCUGAAGAAUAAAGGGUAUGUAUUAUGGAAAGAGUUGGAUUGAGAAAAGAAGGAAAUUGAAGUGAGCGUGAGAGAGAAGGCAAAUAGCAGCGCAAACGGCGAAGUUUUGAUGUUAAUAGGCGGUGGCGGUACAACCCAUCGAAUAGCGAUCCAAUCAUUCUGAGUUGUGACUCGGUGAAGAGUAGCCUUUGACUCUUUCAGUUUGGAUCAGAUUGGAAC
rnacentral:misc_RNA from 1 species